AUUGAACGCUGGCGGCAUGCUUUACACAUGCAAGUCGAACGGCAGCGCGGGUUUCGGCCUGGCGGCGAGUGGCGAACUGGUGAGUAAUACAUCGGAACGUGCCCAGUAGUGGGGGAUAGCUCGGCGAAAGCCGGAUUAAUACCGCAUACGACCUGAGGGUGAAAGCGGGGGAUCUUCGGACCUCGCGCUAUUGGAGCGGCCGAUGGCAGAUUAGCUAGUUGGUGGGGUAAAGGCCUACCAAGGCGACGAUCUGUAGCUGGUCUGAGAGGACGACCAGCCACACUGGGACUGAGACACGGCCCAGACUCCUACGGGAGGCAGCAGUGGGGAAUUUUGGACAAUGGGCGAAAGCCUGAUCCAGCAAUGCCGCGUGUGUGAUGAAGGCCUUCGGGUUGUAAAGCACUUUUGGCGGGAACGAAAAGGACUGUGCCAAUACCACGGUUCGAUGACGGUACCCGCAGAAUAAGCACCGGCUAACUACGUG
rnacentral:rRNA from 1 species